UGACAGUUUUGAAUUAGUCUCAGGCGAUAGUUACAUUUAGUACUUACCGUUACUAAGAGGUAGAAUAUAGAUCUGCAAACAAUUGCAAUCUAGACCAACUUCAAUAGAUAAUAAUUUGAAAGCAACUUUCACAACUAGUAUCAUUCCGGAAACUUUUCGAAAUAUUUGUUAAUUUAUACAAACUUUGUAUGAGUGAAUAAACAAAACUUCGACAUAGUAGAUUUUACAGGAGAGGUGCAUGGAUUCUUUUGGCAGUGUUUGGUUUUUGAGUUGUUCUACCAUAGCUAUUGGAUCAUUCGAUAAGUGGAGAUGAAAAUAGAUACCUGCUUGUCGAAGAGGUCUCAGUGUUCAUAAGUCUUUCGAAGCCUGCAGUUUUUUCGGAUAUAUCAAAAGCAAUACGGUUGUAGGUCCCAAAAAAUGGACGCGAGAAGAAAACUUUUGGCUGCUAUUGAAAAUUGUGACCCCGAUACAAACAAGUUGUUUGUUAGCCGGAUCAUAUGGAAAAUUAGGAGAGAACAUCUUCGAAACUAUUUCAACCAAUACGGUCGCGUUAAAAGUAUACGACUGUGUUUUGAUGAAAAAACUAAAAAAUUCAAAGGAUACGCGUUCGUUCAGUUUGAGUUAGCCGAAGAUCUGGAAAAGGUUUUAGCAGUGGAUGAGCAUAUAAUCGAAGGAAACGAAGUUAGCGUUGCAAAAAGUCUUCGCAAGGCAGCCAGGAGAAGUUCAAAAAGUCACGAUAGCGUCGAAGUGGAGAAAAAUUUGUGAAACGUUCAUGAGCUGACCCUUUUCUUAUAAAGUUAUGUUCUGUUCAUACAUUUGUGAGAAUGUAGUAGUUAUCGGGUAAUAUAAUCUCGCAUAUUA